AUGGGCGACAACCUGAUGGAGAAGGUGACGGCGCUGAGCGAGCAGCUGAAGAUCACCGGGACGGAGGUCGGCAAGAAGAUGACGGCCGGCAUGAGCUCCAUGAGCUUCAAGAUGAGGGAGCUCUUCCUGGGGCAGACUCCAGCCGACAAGAUCGUCGAGGACGCCACCUCCGAGACCCUGGAGGGGCCCGACUGGGCCAUGAACCUGGAGAUCUGCGACCUGAUCAACGCCGGGAAGGUGAACAGCGUGGAUCUGGUCCGCGGGGUCAAGAAGCGGCUCGUGCUGAAGGAUGCAAGGGUUCAGUUCCUCACCCUGUCCCUUCUCGAGACCGUCACCAAGAACUGCGAGAAGGUGUUCUCCGAGGUCGCCGCCGAGAGGGUUCUCGAUGAGAUGGUCAGGUUGGUGGAUGAUCCACUGACCGUGGUGAAUAACAGGAACAAGGCGCUUAUGCUGAUUGAGGCUUGGGGAGAGUCCGGCGAGGAGCUCCGCUACCUGCCGGUCUAUGAGGAGACAUACAAGAGUCUGAAAUCAAGAGGAGUGCGGUUUCCUGGACGCGACAAUGAGAGCUUGGCCCCCAUAUUUACUCCACCACGCUCAGUUGCUGAAGCUGAAGCUGGUGCAAACUUCACGCAACAGACCUUUGAAGAUGUGCAUAUGCAUACAUAUACUGCCGAAGAAACAAAGGAAGCUUUUGAUGUUGCGCGUAACAGCAUAGAGCUUCUUUCAACCGUUUUUUCAUCUUUCCCUCAGCAGGAUGCUUUGCAGGACGACUUGACGAACACCCUUGUGCAACAAUGCUACCAAUCCCAACACACCAUCCAGAGAUUCGUGGAGACGGCUGGGGACAACGAGGCCAUGCUCUUGGAGGCCCUGACCGUGAACGACGAGAUCCAGAAAGUGCUAUCCAGAUACGAAGAGAUGAAGAAACCCGUGGCGCCAGCGCACGCGGAACAAGAGCCGUUGGCCAUACCGAUCGCCGCAGAAGCGGAACAUGAGGAUGCCACUGCCGUCGGGAGCGAAGAGGCCCUGGUCAGAAAACCGGCCGGUUCUCGAGCAAAGCCGGAUGGAGACGACGGUAUGCUCGAUGACCUCGACGAGAUGAUAUUCGGCAAGAAGGGAGGGGACAGCAGCUCCUCCCAGGAGGAUGCAGAUGGGGCCCAAAAGCAGGACAUGAAGAAAGAUGACCCGAUUAACCUCUGA
rnacentral:rRNA from 1 species